AAUGGGCGAAAGCCUGAUCCAGCCAUGCCGCGUGGAUGAAGAAGGCCCUAGGGUUGUAAAAUCCUUUCGCUAGGGAAGAUAAUGACGGUACCUAGUAAAGAAGCCCCGGCUAAUUUCGUGCCAGCAGCCGCGGUAAUACGAAAGGGGCUAGCGUUGUUCGGAAUUACUGGGCGUAAAGCGCACGUAGGCGGCACUGUAAGUUGGGGGUGAAAUCCCGGGGCUCAACCCCGGAACUGCCUCCAAAACUACAGAGCUUGAGGAUGUGAGAGGAGAGUGGAAUUCCGAGUGUAGAGGUGAAUUCGUAGAUAUUCGGAAGAACACCAGUGGCGAGGCGACUCUCUGGCACAUUUCUGACGCUGAGGUGCGAAAGCGUGGGGAGCAAACAGGAUU
rnacentral:rRNA from 1 species